AUGCUCUGGAUUUAAAACAUUUGUUGAAUUCAGAAAGCGUCUUGUUUUAUUAUCAUGGUGAAGUUCAAGCACGUGAUAAUAUUCUGCUCAGAAUCAUCAGAGAAUGCUUGUAAUAUAACAGUAUAAUAUCCCUUUGGAAACAAUGUUCUUUUACCUUUAAUGUCAAAUUCUGUUUCAAUUGUUUCUCCUUUCAGUCCUCCACACAGAGAAUAUUGGUCGUCG
rnacentral:lncRNA from 1 species